rnacentral:rRNA from 1 species
UGGGGAAUAUUGGGCAAUGGGCGCAAGCCUGACCCAGCCAUGCCGCGUGAGUGACGAAGGCCUUAGGGUUGUAAAGCUCUUUCGGCGGGGACGAUGAUGACGGUACCCGCAGAAGAAGCCCCGGCUAACUUCGUGCCAGCAGCCGCGGUAAUACGAAGGGGGCGAGCGUUGUUCGGAAUCACUGGGCGUAAAGGGCACGUAGGCGGCCGUGCAAGUUGGGCGUGAAAGCCCCGGGCUCAACCCGGGAUGUGCGCUCAAGACUGCAUGGCUCGAGUUCGGAAGAGGGUGGCGGAAUUCCCAGUGUAGAGGUGAAAUUCGUAGAUAUUGGGAAGAACACCGGUGGCGAAGGCGGCUACCUGGUCCGAUACUGACGCUGAGGUGCGAAAGCGUGGGGAGCAAACA